rnacentral:lncRNA from 1 species
AGAGAAGAUUGACUGAGCACUCAGCCAUCAAUGUCAGCCUGUAGUGGAAGGCUCUAGGGCAAAAUUCUUUUAUGGGCAUCGCAGAACAAGUCUUCAUUGAACACUGUGAACCAGACAAGUGGGAAGGUGGAUGAAGAGCUAAUUCACUGAAACAAGGUGAGACCCCACGGACCAACCAAAAUGUGGAAUCAAGGCUGCUACUGUAAGGACUUUCAGCUGCUUAAUCAUGUAUAUUCCUUCUCCUGUUAUAGAUGAGAUGCCCGAGAAUGUUCCCUCCCCAACUCAGAAUCCUUUGCAAAACCACCAGGAUCUUGGACAAAGAGGAUUGCCUCCAUCAGGCAAAAAUGGCCUGCUUCCAAUCAAAGCACUCGCAAAUCAAUUAUCCCCAGAGUCAUGAAAAUUCCUGGAGGUCACUGCAGACUGAGCUGGAGAGGGAAAUCUGAUAUGUCUCUCCUCGGUUCAUUAGCUGGGAGUGUUUGCACCUUCACAGUAUCCUUGCUGGAGGGUC